AUACCUUUCUCGGCCUUUUGGCUAAGAUCAAGUGUAGUAUCUGUUCUUAUUAGUUUAAUAUCUGAUGCGUGGUUCAUAGAACCGCAUGAUAUUAAAUGUAUUUUGCUAGGGGGAGGGCCCACUUAGCACCCCAACAACACAACACAAAAUGAUGAUGAUGAUUGAGCUUUAUUUGUUUUGGUCAUUUU
rnacentral:snRNA from 1 species